GGGCGAAAGCCGUCGACGGAGCAAGACCGCGUGAGGGAUGAAGGCCUACUGGUUGUAAACCUCUUUUCUCAAGGAAGAAGUACUGACGGUACCAGAGGAAUAAGCCUCGGCUAACUCCGUGCCAGCAGCCGCGGUAAUACGGAGGAGGCAAGCGUUAUCCGGAAUUAUUGGGCGUAAAGCGUCCGUAGGUGGCGAUUCAAGUCUGCUGUUAAAGCGUGGCAGCUUCAACUCCAUACAGGCAGAUGGAAACUGGGUAGACUAGAGUGCGGUAGGGGUAGAGGGAAUUCCCAGUGUAGCGGUGAAAUGCGUAGAUAUUGGGAAGAACACCGGUGGCGAAGGCGCUGUACUGGGACUGAAGUGACACCGAUGGACGAAAGAUUGGGGAGACCACGGGAUUAAAUAUCCCCU
rnacentral:rRNA from 1 species